AACGAACGCUGGCGGCAUGCCUAACACAUGCAAGUCGAACGAGACCUUCGGGUCUAGUGGCGCACGGGUGCGUAACGCGUGGGAACCUGCCUUUAGGUUCGGAAUAACUCAGAGAAAUUUGAGCUAAUACCGGAUAAUGUCUUCGGACCAAAGAUUUAUCGCCUUUAGAUGGGCCCGCGUAAGAUUAGCUAGUUGGUGGGGUAAAGGCCUACCAAGGCGACGAUCUUUAGCUGGUCUGAGAGGAUGAUCAGCCACACUGGGACUGAGACACGGCCCAGACUCCUACGGGAGGCAGCAGUGGGGAAUAUUGGACAAUGGGCGAAAGCCUGAUCCAGCAAUGCCGCGUGAGUGAUGAAGGCCUUAGGGGUUGUAAAGCUCUUUUACCCGUAGAUGAUAAUGACAGUAUCGGGAGAAUAAGACUCCGGCUAACUACGUGCCAGCAGCCGCGGUAAU
rnacentral:rRNA from 1 species